ACUGCUCCCUCCGGAUUGUUUUUCUUCCGGAUUCGGACUGCGCUUCGGCUUCCGUAGGAGAGCGUUGAGGGCGGAAGUUGCUGCGGCUCGAGGACUCGGGCUGCUUCGUGAUCGUCCCGCAGCGUACGGUCUUCGCUGUCGCCUGCCCACCCUCAGAAACCGGGAGUGGACAGGAUGGGGAGCCUCACUGUAGUCUGUUCGGCCUCUCUCGCCCACACUAUAAGUAAUUUCUCAUGUUCCUUGGCGCCCUCAUAGGGGUCAGAGAACACUUCCAUUCAUUUAAGUGACUUGGUGAUCGUCAUUUAAAAAAAUUUUUUUUUCCAUCUGAGACAGUCUUGCUGGAGCCCUAAAUCCAGGCUGGUCUCAGGAAAUUCUAGUUCGGAUCAUUUGGAUGCUUUCAAAUGUGGGCAACAGCAGGGGCGCAAGGCAGGUAAGAGCAGGCCAGGAUUGAGGCCAAUGUGACUGAUAUGUAUAGAUGGAAUGCCUCUUCUCCAACUUUCCCAUGCUACUAGCAGCUGAUAUGCUAAUCACCAAGAUGCCCCAAGUGCAUGCCUAAAGACUCUACAAGGGAGCUGCUGGCCUUGAGGACCCAAGCCCACUGACAACAGCUCGGUACUUACAGUGCAGAAAGGGCGGUGGCGCUAGUCGUCUGCUGUCAUUCCUUUCACUGGGUCCUUUUGUCUCAUCUGCAACAGAAAAAGCAGAAGGAAAUUGAAAGCUUUUGUUGCUGAUGGAACUUUACCAUGAAUGCACCCUGUCUUCUUGAUCCUGCCAACAGGGCAGAAUAUUUGUGUGUAUGCACCAAGCAAAAAUAACAAGUUUGAAUAAAUAAUAUCUCAGACCAUACCAUUUAUAAUCUAUCUCAGGUCCUACCAUCCUCUACAACCUAAAAUUUACCAAUGCUAAGCCCAGAGCUAUUUUCUUUUCU
rnacentral:lncRNA from 1 species